rnacentral:rRNA from 1 species
UACGUAGGGUGCGAGCGUUAAUCGGAAUUACUGGGCGUAAAGCGUGCGCAGGCGGUUCUGCAAGUCAGAUGUGAAAUCCCCGGGCUUAACCUGGGAACUGCGUUUGAAACUACGGAGCUAGAGUGCGGCAGAGGGGGGUGGAAUUCCACGUGUAGCAGUGAAAUGCGUAGAUAUCAGGAGGAACACCGAUGGCGAAGGCAGAUCUCUGGGCCAUUACUGACGCUGAGGAGCGAAAGCGUGGGGAGCGAACAGG